UGAGCCCCGGAAGACAGGUAUAUUUGGCACUUUGAUUCGAAAGGAUCGAUGUUUCUCAGUAAAAAGUUGUUACCAUGUAGUCGAACUACCCCUAGCUUGGUCCAGAAUGCUGGGGCAUCAUCUUUAACUGGGAAUAAUCUUGGGAAGUACUGAAAGAGUGUGUGGAGUGCGUGAACUCGGGUCCGUUCUCAAAUUCCUAAUUUCUUCUCUUCCUCUCGCUCGCUCUCUCUUUCUCUCUUUCUCUCUCGCUCAGAGAAUUCACUCGAUUUGCAUGUCAAGCACAUCUCUUGCAUCAACUUCUCUAGAAAUCAGCUUGAUCAAAAGAAAGCUCGUCGAAAAUGCAUACAGAUUGAAACUUUAGGAACAAAUAAGAGGGUAGGGCACAAACAUAGCAAUCCCACCGCCAUUGAUUGGAAGAGAUGUGCUCGGAGCUGCAAGGAUAGGGUUCGGGAAGACUCUUUCUUUUCUAGUACCAGCUAUUGAGUUGUUAUAUAACGCAAGCUGUUCUUCUCGCAAUGGAGCUGGUGUUGUUGUCAUUUGCGCAACUAGGGAACUCGUAAUACAGGUGCAGACCCUUGCUUAUUGAUGAAUAAUGAUACUAUGAGUUAUCCCUUACUUAUUAGUGAAUAAUGAUACUAUGAUUUACUUAGGUUUGAUGUGGAAUUUGUUCUUAUAUUUCUUUACGUUAGUGUAGUCAAGCUUGAUCCAAUUUGGGCUUGUUAGAAGGAUUGCUUUUAGUUCGUUUAACGUCUAGGAGAUCAUGAUACCUGUCUUGGGAAUGGGUUUUAUGAAUAAUGUUUCUUCUGUGAUUGAGGUAUAAGCUUGAACUAUUAUGCUUUGAAUGCGAAUGCGGAAUCAUAUAUUGGACCAUUCUGAAAUUUUAGAAUCCGAAUGGAAAUAUUGGAACUGUAUUGUUUUGUGUCAAUGCAUUGUUAGUGUUAAUCACCUAAUCUUUAAGAAUGUCCAACAUUUUGCAAGGAAUGACUCGUAUUCGGCAAAUUAGUAUAGAGCUAAAGCUCCAACACUUGUGAAAACUCAAGGACUGUAGUCCUCCAUGGUGUUUGCUGUGAAAUCUAAUAAUUGGUUGGUUUGAUAUCAAAUUAUGGCGAUUUUGUGACCUUAAAGUAGUUAGUGGCUAGGUUGCACGUAUUGUUAUAUGCUAGGCAAGUUGUGUGUAGACUGCAGACAUAGAAGAAAUUAAAGCUCCUUAGUUGUACCAUGUAGACACCAAUUCUCUUCUGCUAAUGACGGUGUCUGACAAGUUCUUGCUAAUAAGUAAAGUUUAUGAUCUAUUGAGCAAUGAGGAGAGCCAUGUCAAAUGCAUCCUAAGCCACACAUCAUGCUUUCCAGGAGGCCAUUAAACUAUCAGCAACAACAGGAGAACCAUGAUGUGCUUACAAAGUGAUUGUUGUAAUGAAGCAGACCUUGUAAUCUUUAUAACUGAAAUGCUAGAUAAGAAGAGGUUAUUAUAUUCUAAAAGUAAUUUGGAUGAUGUUUAUGUCCUUGCACACGUAAAGUGUAAUCCUCUCUGGAGAAUUGCAAGUCUUUAGUGACUUCCAACAAUGUAAGCUGUGGUGUUGGUGAAUUUAUUUCGUCGGAUUGGUAUCCUCUAGUUUUUGUUUA